GAGCAUGAAAAGGUCAAUUAAUCAACUUAUUUAGGGAAAUUAAAGAAAAUGGGUCACCACAAGUUCAUUUAGUCACAAGGUUCACAAAUCCAUGCAUUAAGCAUCACCUUAGCAAAACAUGGUAACCCAUGAAGGCCAACAAGCAAUUGAAUUGAAACAUUAAUACUACCAAAGACUCAACUGUGAACACUAGCCAAGCAUUCAAGCUUAAUCAAACAUUUUUAGGAACUUCAAAGGUCCCAAUAGCCAAGAAAGGAUCAAGCAAUGGUUCAAAUACAAACAUUUUAGGGCCUAAUUGCAAGAAAUCAGCACAUAUUUGGGCCUUUGAAGAAAUGAUUGAAAAAUUAGGGAGUUAAAGCAUAAAUUUCAGAAUUACUCCAUGCAUGCAACGUAGAAGAUUAAGAUUCUGCAACUAAAAACAAAGGUUGCUCCCCUUUUAUUUCCAAAGCUUCGGCAAUAUCCAACAACAACUACAUCCAUUUC
rnacentral:lncRNA from 1 species